GCAGGUAUGCUGAUAGUCUACAAAUAAGCUUGCUCAGGAGUUUAACAGAUUAGGAUAGGUAGAGGGUGAAGAUGCUGAUGAUUAUAAGGUGUAUUAUAUGCGUUCUAAGAACUAGGCCAUUAGAGGGUGUUUUAGUGCAAUAUUUCAUAACCAAACCCAUUGAUGUUUUAGUAAUCUUGUAAAUACGCAACCAAGACUUAUUUCACUGUUGGUGACAAUUGCCCCUGAAGGCAUUUUUGUUAAAUAAGGC